GGAUUAGGCAUGCAAGUCGAACGAGAAAGGUUCCUUUCGGGGACCGAGUAGAGUGGCGAAAGGGUGAGUAAUGCACAGGCAACUUACCCCCGAGAUGGGAAUAACCUCUCGAAAGGGGGGCUAAUGCCCAAUGGUACCGUGGAUCGCAUGUUCUACGGUUAAAGAUAGCUUCGGCCUUCGCUCGGGGAGAGGCCUAUGUCCUAUUAGCUUGUUGGUGGGGUAACGGCCCACCAAGGCGACGAUGGGUAGCCGACCUGAGAGGGUGACCGGCCACACUGGGACUGAGACACUGCCCAGACUCCUACGGGAGGCUGCAGUCGAGAAUCUUCCGCAAUGCGCGCAAGCGUGACGGAGCGACGCCGCGUGAGGGAUGAAGGCCUUCGGGUUGUAAACCUCUGUCGCCUGGAAAGAAAACUGUGCGGUUAAUAGCUGUCGCAGUUGACGUUACCAGGAGAGGAAGCACCGGCUAAAUACGUGCCAGCAGCCGCGGUAAUACGUAUGGUGCAAACGUUGUUCGGAAUCACUGGGCUUAAAGAGCACGUAGGCGGUUGAGAAAGUCUGAUGUGAAAUCCCUCGGCUUAACCGAGGAAUUGCAUUGGAAACUUCUCGGCUAGAGUACAGGAGGGGAGAGUGGAAUUCCUGGUGGAGCGGUGAAAUGCGUAGAUAUCAGGAGGAACGCCGGAGGCGAAAGCGACUCUCUGGCCUGUUACUGACGCUGAGGUGCGAAAGCUAGGGGAGCGAACGGGAUUAGAUACCCCGGUAGUCCUAGCCCUAAACGAUGGGCACUAAGUAGAGGGGUUUU
rnacentral:rRNA from 1 species